rnacentral:lncRNA from 1 species
AGUGGUUGCACGACGGGGUAGUGACCGGCAGUGACCCGAACAUAAUGUGGGCUAUCUUGCGGUGACCCGAACGUACUGUGGGCCACAAUCAUCGUGUGACAACCGGCAGUGGCCCGAGCGUACUGGGGCUGUCGCGCGGUGACCCGAAUGUACUGUGGGCCGCGUUCGGUUGAAAGUUCCUUCUUCUAGCCUAUGUGGUAAGGAGAUAGGAUAUUGCCGAGGAUAGAGGAGGAACAC